rnacentral:lncRNA from 1 species
AUCGCCCAAAAUAAGAUGGGCCGCUGAAUGCAAUGAGGCAUCAUCCAAUGGUAGCAAGCUUUUAUUGUCUUGCGGAAAAUAGCAAAGUUUUAUGUUCAAACAGAAAAUUACAACUUCGUACCUUCGAUUGUUUCACAUCUCUAGUCAUGCUCUAAAGCAGAAUAAAAGAUUGCUUUGGCUUAUAUACUAAACUAAACUAAGGUGGUGGGAAUUUUGGAAUGCUGUUACGUC